GACGAACGCUGGCGGCGUGCUUAACACAUGCAAGUCGAACGGAAAGGCCCUGCUUUUGUGGGGUGCUCGAGUGGCGAACGGGUGAGUAACACGUGAGUAACCUGCCCUUGACUUUGGGAUAACUUCAGGAAACUGGGGCUAAUACCGGAUAGGAGCUCCUGCUGCAUGGUGGGGGUUGGAAAGUUUCGGCGGUUGGGGAUGGACUCGCGGCUUAUCAGCUUGUUGGUGGGGUAGUGGCUUACCAAGGCUUUGACGGGUAGCCGACCUGAGAGGGUGACCGGCCACAUUGGGACUGAGAUACGGCCCAGACUGCUACGGGAGGCAGCAGUGGGGAAUAUUGCACAAUGGGCGGAAGCCUGAUGCAGCAACGCCGCGUGCGGGAUGACGGCCUUCGGGUUGUAAACCGCUUUCGCCUGUGACGAAGCGUGAGUGACGGUAAUGGGUAAAGAAGCACCGGCGAACUACGU
rnacentral:rRNA from 1 species